CUACAGGGGUUUCUAAUCCUGUUUGCUCCCCACGCUUUCGCACCUCAGCGUCAAUACUUGUCCAGUCAGUCGCCUUCGCCACUGGUGUUCUUCCGAAUAUCUACGAAUUUCACCUCUACACUCGGAAUUCCACUGACCUCUCCAAGAUUCUAGCUAUCUAGUUUCAAAGGCAGUUCUGGAGUUGAGCUCCAGGCUUUCACCCCUGACUUGAAUAGCCGCCUACGUGCGCUUUACGCCCAGUAAUUCCGAACAACGCUAGCUCCCUCCGUAUUACCGCGGCUGCUGGCAC
rnacentral:rRNA from 1 species